UACGUAGGGGGCGAGCGUUGUCCGGAUUUAUUGGGCGUAAAGAGCGUGUAGGCGGCCAGGUAGGUCUGCUGUGAAAACUCGAGGCUCAACCUCGAGACGUCGGCGGAAACCAUCUGGCUAGAGUCCGGAAGAGGAGAGUGGAAUUCCUGGUGUAGCAGUGAAAUGCGUAGAUAUCAGGAGGAAUACCGAUGGCGAAGGCAGGUCUCUGGGCUGACACUGACGCUCAUGCACGAAAGCGUGGGGAGCAAACAGG
rnacentral:rRNA from 1 species